AUUCGAUUUUGAGGUAGCACAUCACAUGAUUUUAUUUAGUUCGUCAGCUAGAACCACUUUAGUACAGUGCAGAUACAGAUGCCCUGCUGCUGCAAACCUUAGUGUACAGCAGGAUUACUGCUGCUCACCCAGUGUUAUAGCUUGGAAGUGUGCACAAAUUUCACAAGAUUUGGUGCAUGAUAGCAAUUCUCUUUUUGUUGCCAAACUAAGACUCCAUGACAGCAGCCAUUCGAUUACUUGUAGCCUGCCAGUAGUAGUAAUUUGGUUAUGUUGCCAGGUUCGAAUUCGGUGGUGUUGCUCAGCGAAGCAAAGCUAGUUUAUGUGGUUUGUGUGAUUUAGAGCAGAUCUUGUGUAGAUAAAAGGCAAAGGAGGACGACAUAUUGACAGACAAGCUGGAGUACCCAGAGACAACUGAGACAUGCCUUGGAGCAUAAGUUGCCCAGUGGAUUUCCUAUCACUGGGCUGUGGAAGAAGAAAAUGUUUGAGACCAUCUUUGUAGUUUCUAAGAGUGCUGUAUGGUGCGGUGGCGGCAAUGCUCGCGAUCUCUCUGGUGAGUUUGCUCCUGGUUCUCGCUUCAAUCUCUGGCUCCCUUGUGAUAUGCUGGUACUAGGAUAUCUAGGCGCCGUGGUUGUUAUGUGCUUGGGUGAAUGAGCCGAUGACCUAACUAUAUUGGGAGCAUGUGAAGGUGCUUCUUUGGUUUGCGUUUGUUAAGUAUCAAGUGCACUUUUACCUUGAAUACUAGCUAGGGAUCUUAUACCUCGUAAAUAUCCUUGGAUUCUUUUGUUUGUACUACUGCACAUGCUGAAUUCGCUCUCUAUCAGUGAUUGGAGUAAAGAAAAAUGAGGUUUUCUUCUACUGCCCAAUUAUGUUUGUUGUGGCUGACGGCCAUGUAUGAUGUCAGUUAGCUGGUUGCAUGCAUGUUUCACCGAUAACCAUUUUCAGAAGUGAAUAUCGUGUAGCCUCUGCCUACAUUUAGGUAUACCUGCACUGCACAUGGGUGUGAAAGCUGACGCAUAAUCCAAGUGUAGUUGGAGCUUUGCGUAAAUGAAUUAUGAGUCCAGUUGCUUGUAUAUACAUGUUCUCUGUGGUUUUGCUUGAUGUGUGCAGGCUGCUGGAUAUUGCCAAGCGGGUUGCCAUGAGAAAGCCAGCAUCAGGCGAUGAUGCACGGGUGCUAGGAGGGCGCCUAGCAAGGAAAGGAUGAGCUGGCGUUCCAGCUUGUGGCUGGGGCCGUCUGCUGGCGGUGGGCGUAAAUUUGUGGUUUCAAGCUGAAGAAGGUAGCGGCCUGGGCGUAUUCUGUGGUGUACUAUAUAUAUAUGUGUUGUGCAUGCAAGUCGGGCUCCACAUGUGAUUCGAGAUUCAUGUGUGUUGGUGCUGCGCGCGGGUGGGAAUGUCUAGUUAGUUUUUGCUGCCCGUGAUGUAUGGCUUUUGUGCAGUUAUAUAGUAUGUUGUGUUCCAUAAUUUUGCUAGUUAGAUAUUUUGCUGCCGUUAUGUAUGAGUUUUGUGUAGUUGUAUAUGAUGCGUUGCAGUGUGGUGGAUGGAAUGGAAUAUUGGUAAAGCUGCGAA